GAAAGAGGGUCUGAAGAGGAGCCUUGAUCUCUUGAGGGCACAUGGUGUGACUUUCGAUAGUAUUGUCACAGACCGGCACCCUCAAGUACAGGAAUUUCUGCGGGAGGCCAACAUCACACACUAUUACGAUGUAUGGCACAUCGAAAAAGGACUGUCCAAGAAACUGCUGAAGAUUUCUCAGAGCAAAGAUUGUGAGAAACUGCAAAAGUGGCUUCGCAGUAUCAAAAACCAUAUAUAUUGGACAGCAGCUUCUUCGUCGUCAGCGCAAGAGCGAGUGGCAAAGUGGACUUCAAUUCUUAAUCACGUACAAGACAUUCACACGCAUGAAGAUCCUGUUUUUCCACAGUGUUUACAUCCACGACGCACUUCAAGGGACAAGAGGCAAGUGGUUGAGAGCUGGAACACCUGCCUUCUGUAGAUUAGAGAAGGUGCUCACAAACAAGAGGAUUCUGAAGGAUGUUCAGAAGCUGAGCCCUCACCAUCAGACCUCAUCACUGGAAGCAUUCCAUAGCGUAAUUCUACGUUUCGCGCCCAAGAAUGUUGUCUUUAGUUUUCUUGGAAUGUUAUGCAGACUCUACCUAGCAGCCCUACAUUUUAAUGAAAAUGCUGGGCGCCCCCAAGCAACAACAGCAGCUGGUGGACCGCAAUUUAAAGUCAACUUUCCAAAGUACAAGAAAGGACAAUGCACUGCAAAGCCAGUGAAAGCAGAUCC